rnacentral:tRNA from 1 species
GCGGGUGUGGUGAAAUGGCAGCCACGCUAGACUUAGGAUCUAGUGGAGAAAUCCGUGGAGGUUCGAAUCCUCUCACCCGCA